rnacentral:tRNA from 1 species
CGUCUGCUGCGCAAACGCAGAUGACGUCGCCCUUACAAGGCGAAGAUCGGCGGUUCAAUUCCGCCACGGCCCA